CCAGACCGCCAGCUAAGGUCCCAAAGUCAUGGUUAAGUGGGAAACGAUGUGGGAAGGCCCAGACAGCCAGGAUGUUGGCUUAGAAGCAGCCAUCAUUUAAAGAAAGCGUAAUAGCUCACUGGUCGAGUCGGCCUGCGCGGAAGAUGUAACGGGGCUAAACCAUGCACCGAAGCUGCGGCAGCGACACUAUGUGUUGUUGGGUAGGGGAGCGUUCUGUAAGCCUGUGAAGGUGGCCUGUGAGGGUUGCUGGAGGUAUCAGAAGUGCGAAUGCUGACAUAAGUAACGAUAAAGCGGGUGAAAAGCCCGCUCGCCGGAAGACCAAGGGUUCCUGUCCAACGUUAAUCGGGGCAGGGUGAGUCGACCCCUAAGGCGAGGCCGAAAGGCGUAGUCGAUGGGAAACAGGUUAAUAUUCCUGUACUUGGUGUUACUGCGAAGGGGGGACGGAGAAGGCUAUGUUGGCCGGGCGACGGUUGUCCCGGUUUAAGCGUGUAGGCUGGUUUUCCAGGCAAAUCCGGAAAACCAAGGCUGAGGCGUGAUGACGAAGCACUACGGUGCUGAAGCGACAAAUGCCCUGCUUCCAGGAAAAGCCUCUAAGCAUCAGGUAACAUCAAAUCGUACCCCAAACCGACACAGGUGGUCAGGUAGAGAAUACCAAGGCGCUUGAGAGAACUCGGGUGAAGGAACUAGGCAAAAUGGUGCCGUAACUUCGGGAGAAGGCACGCUGAUAUGUAGGUGAAGCGACUUGCUCGUGGAGCUGAAAUCAGUCGAAGAUACCAGCUGGCUGCAACUGUUUAUUAAAAACACAGCACUGUGCAAACACGAAAGUGGACGUAUACGGUGUGACGCCUGCCCGGUGCCGGAAGGUUAAUUGAUGGGGUUAGCGGUAACGCGAAGCUCUUGAUCGAAGCCCCGGUAAACGGCGGCCGUAACUAUAACGGUCCUAAGGUAGCGAAAUUCCUUGUCGGGUAAGUUCCGACCUGCACGAAUGGCGUAAUGAUGGCCAGGCUGUCUCCACCCGAGACUCAGUGAAAUUGAACUCGCUGUGAAGAUGCAGUGUACCCGCGGCAAGACGGAAAGACCCCGUGAACCUUUACUAUAGCUUGACACUGAACAUUGAGCCUUGAUGUGUAGGAUAGGUGGGAGGCUUUGAAGUGUGGACGCCAGUCUGCAUGGAGCCGACCUUGAAAUACCACCCUUU
rnacentral:rRNA from 1 species